GACGAACGCUGGCGGCGUGCUUAACACAUGCAAGUCGAGCGGGGUCCAUGGAGUGGCAACACUCCGGAAGACCUAGCGGCGAACGGGUGAGUAACACGUGAGGAACCUGCCCCAGAGACCGGGAUAACCCUCCGAAAGGAGAGCUAAUACCGGAUGCCCUCAUCGGACCGCAUGAUCUGAUGAGGAAAUGGAUUCCGCUCUGGUAGGGCCUCGCGGCCUAUCAGCUUGUUGGUGAGGUAACGGCUCACCAAGGCAUCGACGGGUAGCUGGUCUGAGAGGACGAUCAGCCACACUGGGACUGAGACACGGCCCAGACUCCUACGGGAGGCAGCAGUGGGGAAUCUUGCGCAAUGGGCGAAAGUCUGACGCAGCAACGCCACGUGGGGAUGAAGGCUUUCGGGUUGUAAACCCCUUUCAGCAGGGACGAUUAUGACGGUACCUGCAGAAGAGGGACCGGCCAACUACGUGCCAGCCGCCGCCGUAACAC
rnacentral:rRNA from 1 species